rnacentral:rRNA from 1 species
UACGGAGGAUGCGAGCGUUGUCCGGAAUCACUGGGCGUAAAGGGCGCGUAGGUGGCGCGACAAGUCAACGGUGAAAGCUCGGCGCUCAACGCCGAGUCGGCCGUCGAUACUGUUGGGCUUGAGCACUGUAGAGGCUAAUGGAAUUCCGGGUGUAGCGGUGGAAUGCGUAGAGAUCCGGAAGAACACCGGUGGCGAAGGCGGUUAGCUGGGCAGUUGCUGACACUGAGGCGCGACAGCGUGGGGAGCAAACAGG